UACGUAGGGUGCGAGCGUCAAUCGGAAUUACUGGGCGUAAAGCGUGCGCAGGCGGCGCGUUAAGACAGGUGUGAAAGCCCCGAGCUUAACUUGGGAAUUGCGCUUGUGACUGGCGUGCUGGAGUGUGGCAGAGGGAGGUGGAAUUCCACGUGUAGCAGUGAAAUGCGUAGAGAUGUGGAGGAACACCGAUGGCGAAGGCAGCCUCCUGGGCCAGCACUGACGCUCAUGCCCGAAAGCGUGGGGAGCAAACGGG
rnacentral:rRNA from 1 species